CAGUCGCCACGGGAACACGGAGGGUGCAAGCGUUAAUCGGAAUUACUGGGCGUAAAGCGCACGCAGGCGGUCUGACAAGUCAGAUGUGAAAUCCCCGGGCUUAACCUGGGAACUGCAUUUGAAACUGUCAGGCUGGAGUCUUGUAGAGGGGGGUGGAAUUCCAGGUGUAGCGGUGAAAUGCGUAGAGAUCUGGAGGAAUACCGGUGGCGAAGGCGGCCCCCUGGACAAAGACUGACGCUCAGGUGCGAAAGCGUGGGGAGCAAACAGGAUUAGAGACCCCUGUAGUCCCUGUCUCUUAUAC
rnacentral:rRNA from 1 species